AUUGAACGCUGGCGGCAGGCCUAACACAUGCAAGUCGAACGGUAACAGGAAGAAGCUUGCUUCUUUGCUGACGAGUGGCGGACGGGUGAGUAAUGUCUGGGAAACUGCCUGAUGGAGGGGGAUAACUACUGGAAACGGUAGCUAAUACCGCAUAACGUCGCAAGACCAAAGAGGGGGACCUGAGGGCCUCUUGCCAUCGGAUGUGCCCAGAUGGGAUUAGCUAGUGUGUGGGGUAACGGCUCACCAAGGCGACGAUCCCUAGCUGGUCUGAGAGGAUGAACAGCCACACUGGAACUGAGACACGGUCCAGACUCCUACGGGAGGCAGCAGUGGGGAAUAUUGCACAAUGGGCGCAAGCCUGAUGCAGCCAUGCCGCGUGUAUGAAGAAGGCCUUCGGGUUGUAAAGUACUUUCAGCGGGGAGGAAGGGAGUAAAGUUAAUACCUUUGCUCAUUGACGUUACCCGCAGAAGAAGCACCGGCUAACUCCGUGCCAGCAGCCGCCGUAA
rnacentral:rRNA from 1 species